UACGUAGGGGGCAAGCGUUGUCCGGAAUUACUGGGCGUAAAGCGCACGUAGGCGGAUCUUUAAGUCAGGGGUGAAAUCCUGGAGCUCAACUCCAGAACUGCCUUUGAUACUGAGGACCUUGAGUUCGGGAGAGGUGAGUGGAACUGCGAGUGUAGAGGUGAAAUUCGUAGAUAUUCGCAAGAACACCAGUGGCGAAGGCGGCUCACUGGCCCGAUACUGACGCUGAGGUGCGAAAGCGUGGGGAGCAAACAGG
rnacentral:rRNA from 1 species